rnacentral:rRNA from 1 species
UACGAAGGGGGGCUAGCGUUGCUCGGAAUCACUGGGCGUAAAGCGCACGUAGGCGGAUUGUUAAGUCAGGGGUGAAAUCCCGAGGCUCAACCUCGGAACUGCCUUUGAUACUGGCAAUCUCGAGUCCGGAAGAGGUGAGUGGAAUUCCUAGUGUAGAGGUGAAAUUCGUAGAUAUUAGGAAGAACACCAGUGGCGAAGGCGGCUCUCUGGGACGGUACUGACGCUGAGACGCGAAAGCGUGGGGAGCGAACAGG